rnacentral:rRNA from 1 species
UACGUAGGGGGCUAGCGUUGUCCGGAUUUAUUGGGCGUAAAGAGCGUGUAGGCGGCCAUGUAGGUCCGGUGUGAAAACUCGAGGCUUAACCUCGAGAUGUCAUCGGAAACCAUUUGGCUAGAGUCCGGAAGAGGAGAGUGGAAUUCCUGGUGUAGCGGUGAAAUGCGCAGAUAUCAGGAGGAACACCAGAGGCGAAGGCGGCGCACUGGACAGCAACUGACACUCAACUGCGAAAGCGUGGGGAGCAAACAGG